rnacentral:rRNA from 1 species
UGCAGUCGAACGGUAACAGGUCGCUGUGAUCUCUUCGGAGUGAACUUGACGCUGACGAGUGGCGGACGGGUGAGUAAUACUUAGGAAUCUACCCAGUAGCGGGGACAACACGAGGAAACUCGUGCUAAUACCGCAUACGCCCUACGGGGGAAAGUGGAGGAUCUUCGGACUUCACACUGUUGGAUGAGCCUAAGUCGGAUUAGCUUGUUGGUAGGGUAAUAGCCUACCAAGGCAACGAUCCGUAGCUGGUCUGAGAGGACGAUCAGCCACACUGGGACUGAGACACGGCCCAGACUCCUACGGGAGGCAGCAGUGGGGAAUAUUGGACAAUGGGGGCAACCCUGAUCCAGCAAUACCGCGUGUGUGAAGAAGGCCUGCGGGUUGUAUAGCACUUUCAGUAGAGAAGAAAAGCUUAGGGUUAAUACCCCUGGGUCUUGACGUAACCUACAGAAGAAGCACCGGCUAACUCCGUGCCAGCAGCCGCGGUAAUACGGGGGGUGCAAGCGUUAAUCGGAAUUACUGGGCGUAAAGCGCGCGUAGGCGGUCUGGUCAGUCGGAUGUGAAAGCCCCGGGCUUAACCUGGGAAUGGCAUUCGAUACUGCCCGACUAGAAUAUGGAAGAGGGAAGUGGAAUUUCCGGUGUAGCGGUGAAAUGCGUAGAGAUCGGAAGGAACACCAGUGGCGAAGGCGGCUUCCUGGUCCAAUAUUGACGCUGAGGUGCGAAAGCGUGGGGAGCGAACAGGAUUAGAUACCCUGGUAGUCCACGCCGUAAACGAUGAGAACUAGAUGUCGGAAGGGUUUAGCCUUUCGGUGUCGCAGCUAACGCGUUAAGUUCUCCGCCUGGGGAGUACGG